GAACUGCCGAGAUAGGGGUGCUGGACAUAUUUGUGAUGUAGAACAAAGACUUGAAUCAUCUAUUGGAGACUGAUCUUGAUCCAAGACAGUGGUGCCACUCUGCUCAGUAGUUGCAGAAUCUUGCCUUCCACAACUGCUUGAGGUAUUUUGGUAUGGCAAGGGGUCAGCUUCACAGUAUUCCAUUUGUGGUAUUGAACUUUCAACCAAUCCUGGUUCCAACUUAACAAGUAGUUGCAGAAUCUUGCCUUCCACAAUUGCUUGAGGUAUUUUGGUAUGGCAAGGGGUCAGCUUCACAGUAUUCCAUUUGUGGUAUUGAACUUUCAACCAAUCCUGAUUCCAACUUAACAGCCUUUGUCUCCACACCUCCAAGAUUGUUACUACACAAGCCAACCAUAUUUGUAGAAUUCAUCCCAGGACUGAUAAGAAAUUAAAUAAGGGAAAGUAAGUACAAAUAAAUAGGCUAAAAUAGAUUAGAGAACUAGAGGGCAAACAUGAUAGAACUUUGAAGAAGAGUGAAAGCAUAAAAGGAACAUUUUCCCACGGAAGCAGAUAAGCAAGACCAGUGAUAACUUCGGACUCGUUUGGUUUGGAAAAAGGUUAUCCUGGGACUAUAAUCCCACAUCCAAUAUGGGAUGAUAAUACCAAGUCUUUGUACAAAAUAUUAUACUGGUAUUAGCUAAUACCAAUAACCAAACACUGGACAAAUGUAAUCACAUAUUUUAUACGCCGAUUUUUACUCCAAAUCAUAUAAUUUAACACUUAGCAGUUAAAAAUUAAGGUGUGUGGCCUAGUGGUCAAAGAAGUGGGCUAAAAACCCUGAACUCUCGGGCUCAAAUCCAGUGGAGGCAAAAAUGUUUGGUGACUUCUUCUCCAUUUGCCCAAACCUUGGUGCACAGAGUUACCUAGUACCAGUCCACUGCCAUUAUCCAAAAAAUAAAAUAUAUCACUUGGUUAAGUGAGAAAUGUGUUGGUUUGAUGUAAACACAAUGUGCAUGUAAGUCUAAUGUACAUCUCCAAGGUAAGAAAAACUCAAUAAAAAUAAUGGCAACGAAAUCAAACUUCUUGAAGAUAACGCCAGACCUGAUGAAAGGAAUUCAAACAGUUUCCGGAACAAAAUUUCCCCAAACCUCAGAGCAGUAGAACACCAAUAUCAAACUUCAGUUUUCUCAGCAUGAACAGCCAUUUUUGUGUCCCCACAACUGCUUCAUAUCGGACGCAACAGCAAGUUCUAGGUCUUCAAAAUUUACUCUUCAAUUUCUUGCAUCCACAUUCAACUUCCUUAUUUAUUUUCCCCUCUCCAACUUAGAAACUCAAAAAAGAUACUAAACGUUAAUGUUGCAGAAACUUCACAAGUGACUGCUUGGUUCAAUUACAGCAGCCAAAUGCGAACAAAAAAAAAUAUGGUGGGCGUUAAUCUGAGUGAAGGAAUUAGGGAUCUAAAGUAGAGGAAAAUUGGAAUCUUUUUGAAGAGGAGGGAAAGAAUUCAAGACACAGUAUUGACAGGGAAUCUGGGGUUAAGAUUUCAAAAAGGUUGAGGACUAAAACGGCAAAGAAAGAUGUUUCGAGGUCCCUCCCCUUUGGUCCCUGUGGAUUAAAGCUCCAAGAGCUAGGGCUGAAUAGGACGAAACCUGUUGACGGACGCCAAUAAAUAAGACGUUAAAUUCGUUGAAGCAGCCGUGGUUCAGUAUGUUGGUAUUUCGCCUUCUAAAAGAAAAAAAUACGAGAACAUGACUUAUGUUUGGGUUAGGUUGAUAAAACAACAACAAGUAUUUGCG
rnacentral:lncRNA from 1 species